rnacentral:lncRNA from 1 species
GCUUUCUUUGAUUUCUGGGUUUCUCCUCGCUGUCAUUCCAUAAUUCUGGUACAUUUAUGGAGUGCCUAAUGCAUGCCAGUGAAUUGCUCCUGUGGCACCAUCAUGGUGAAGCUUCACCACACCCCAGCAAGUGUGCACCUGACAUUCCCGGUGAGGAAAAUUGCUGAGGAUCACAUAUCCAGUUAAGUCUGAGAGGACAGAAAGCCACUUAAAUCCAGGGCCCCUGCACCAAUGGAGUUCCCAGUAGAUUAAAAAUGGUUGAGUGGUUGGCAUGAGCAGAGAAGAAUUUACAGCCCAUUAUCAUCAAGUUUCCCAGCCCCUGAAGUAGUGUGGAAGAGUGAAGAAAGUUUUCCAUGCCCUUGGGAGGGGUGAAGAAGUGGCUGAGAGUGGCCAGAGACCCGAGAGGCCUUGCCAUCCAGACAAGAAGGCUCCAGUCCAGUGGCUGCCCAUCAGGCACGCUCUCCAUGGCCUCAUCACCAGCAGGACACUCACGUGGCUGGCAUGCGCGGUUCCUGAUCACAUGGCCCACUUUUGAAGGCUCCCGUCAGGGUCAGCUCCAGGUGAGCUUCUUGGGUCUUGGACAGACCUUACCCUUUUAUUUUAUUUAUUUAUUUAUUUAUUUUUUGAGACAGAAUCUCACUCUGUCACUCAGAGUGGUGUGUAGUGGUGAAAUCUUGGCUCACUGCAGCCUCAACCUCCUGGGCUCAAGCGAUUCUCCCACCUCAGCCUCCUAAGUAGCUGGGACUAUAGGCAUGCACCACCAUGCUGGCUAAUUUUUUUUGUAUUUUUAGUAGAGACGGGGUUUCACCAUGUUGGCCAGGCUAGUCUCAAACUCCUGACCUCAAGUGAUCCGCCUCCCAAAGUGCUGGGAUUACAGGCUUAAGCCACUGUGCCCAGCCAGAUCCUACUCUUUUAGUAGCUUCAGAUGGCAGAGUGUGGAAUGGUCGCUGUUGUCUCAAUUUCCCAGCCAAUGUAUUAAGCCUAUUUGAUUUAUGUGGCCAACGAUUCCUCAAACUCCAGGAUGGCCUUGAGGGGCACAGACGGCUUCAGAGAACUAGGCUGGAGCCCAAAUAUGGUUUUAGAAGAAUAAUGAGCU